rnacentral:ncRNA from 1 species
AUAGGUGCCCGCGCCGACGGUGCGGGAGAAUAGGGAAGCGGGCGAGAUGCCCCACAGCCACCUCUACUGUAAGCGCUUCAGGUCGUUUUUCACUGCAUCGGCGGGAAGGAAUCCGACAAAUUCGGCGCAUUAGUCAGGAGACCUGCCUGUUCG